GUUAACGUAGCUUAAGUAAAGCAUAACACUGAAGAUGUUAAGAUGGGCCCUAGAAAUCCCCGUAAGCA
rnacentral:tRNA from 1 species